CAGCCGCCGCGGUAAUACGUAGGUGGCAAGCGUUAUCCGGAAUUAUUGGGCGUAAAGCGCGCGUAGGCGGUUUUUUAAGUCUAAUGUGAAAGCCCACGGCUCAACCGUGGAGGGUCAUUGGAAACUGGAAAACUUGAGUGCAGAAGAGGAAAGUGGAAUUCCACGUGUAGCGGUGAAAUGCGUAGAGAUGUGGAGGAACACCAGUGGCGAAGGCGACUCUCUGGUCUGUAACUGACGCUGAGGAGCGAAAGCGUGGGGAGCGAACAGGAUUAGAUACCCCAGUAGUCCCUGUCUCUUAUAC
rnacentral:rRNA from 1 species